AUGCCAUUACUACUCCACAUGGGUUUUGCCGUGGUGGGGGGGUUGCCUAUGGGCAGGGGGUUAUGGGCCUUGCAAACCGGAAGGGGGGCACACCAAAACCGCAAAUUGUUUUUCCCCAGCAUCAUGCCCCCCCGGACAUCGGCUUGGGUUUGAUUUUCACUGGGGAAAUUAAAAAAGAGCUCAACACACGUUUUCAGAUGAUGUCUAUAAGAUCCAAGAGGGUAUUGGGGACAAGGCGGGGAAGCUUAUCCAGGCCUUCUCCAGCUUCAUCACUGCCUUCACCAUCGGCUUCAUCAAAGGUUGGAAACUCACUCUUGUCAUCCUGGCUGUGAGCCCUGCGCUGGGCAUUUCAGCCGGUCUUUUCUCUAAGGUGCUGGCGUCUUUCACUUCUAAAGAGCAGGCUGCAUAUGCCAAAGCUGGAGCUGUGGC